GACGAACCGUCCAAACGUUAUUCGGAAUUACUGGGCUUAAAGGGUGCGUAGGCGGCUCUGCAAGUUGGGUGUGAAAUCCCUCGGCUCAACCGAGGAAUGGCGCCCAAAACUGUGGAGCUCGAGGGAGACAGAGGUGAGUGGAACUUGUGGUGGAGCGGUGAAAUGCGUUGAUAUCACAAGGAACACAGGUGGCGAAAGCGGCUCACUGGGUCUCUUCUGACGCUGAGGCACGAAAGCUGGGGGAGCGAACGGGAUUAGAUACCCCUGUAGU
rnacentral:rRNA from 1 species